rnacentral:rRNA from 1 species
UACGUAGGGUGCAAGCGUUAAUCGGAAUUACUGGGCGUAAAGCGUGCGCAGGCGGUGAUGUAAGACAGAUGUGAAAUCCCCGGGCUCAACCUGGGAACUGCAUUUGUGACUGCAUCGCUGGAGUGCGGCAGAGGGGGAUGGAAUUCCGCGUGUAGCAGUGAAAUGCGUAGAUAUGCGGAGGAACACCGAUGGCGAAGGCAAUCCCCUGGGCCUGCACUGACGCUCAUGCACGAAAGCGUGGGGAGCAAACCGG